rnacentral:SRP_RNA from 1 species
GCCAGGUGCGGUGGCGCGUGCCUGUAAUCCCAGCUACUAGGGAGGCUGAGGCAGGAGAAUCACUUGAACCCAGGAGGUGGAGGUUGCAGUGGGCUGAGAUUGUGCCACUGCACUCCAACCUGGGCAACAGAGUGAGACCCUGCCUCAA